rnacentral:lncRNA from 1 species
AUGGAAUCCUGCCUGGCGUACCUUUCUUAGUGUUCUCUUUUUGUAUUUUUACAUUUCAUUGUAUACGUAUCUUAGCUCGCAAGGAGCAUGAGUUACUAUAAAUACCCAACUCCUCUCUUGUAAUAGGGACUUUUGAGAUGAAUGAGAAUUGAAUUUCUGAACUCCAGAAUUAAUUCUCUCUUGAAAGUCAAGGCUAGAGAGUCCUAGGGAUUCGCUCUAGCCACCUUCCAAGCACACUCUUCCAUUUCUCCAUUUUCCAUUUUUCCACCAUGCUUCCAUUAAUUCUCUCUUCCAUGCUGCACCACAAAUUGUCCUCCACAUCUUCUGCACAUCAGCUCCUCUGUUGCCACAUCAUCAGCGCAUCAUUUUCCUUCGCGGAAAGAGCCGUAUCUCAUUAUCACUUUUCACUAUCGUGUCUCCCUCCUCGAGAGCAAUUUCCUCUCUCGAAAGAUCAUCUUCUCCAGCCACAGUUCUUCAUUACAGGUUUCUUUUUCAUUUCUCCUUGCCUCAGCCAUUUUCACUAUGUCGCUCCGCUGUUCAUCAACCUCGAGCCUUCAUCUUUGUGAUUCACCUCAUGGAAUCACUUUUCUAGUUUUAGAUCCUCGUUGUCCUUGUCAUUUCCUUCAUUUUAACCGAUUGAUCUAGCGUUUUGACCGAUUAAACACUUCUCCUCCCUUGGAUCUUCCAUUUUCACCGUUUAAAACACCAUUCCCACCGAUUAAUCGGUUAGUUUAGUGAUUCCUCACCGUUCUAGGGUUUUCCACCGUUUAACCGUAGUUUCUUGAGUUCUUCUCUAAUUCCGCUCUCAAUUUAGAGCUUCAUCAUCAUUUUCUUCAUAUUCCACUGCGUUCAUCUCUAGAGGAAGCUUUGAAGGGUCUCCCAACACGCACAUUCGUCAUCUCCUUGGAGGCUCUUCCAUCAGUUAUAUAAGCAAGAAUACAGAGAACUCCCCUCUCAAUGCACUUUCCUUCCUCAACUCAAUAUCUCUUAUAGUACAAGAUGUGAAUCACCUCACAAUCUCACAACCCAGAAAGCAAUUCUAGCUUUCUGUAACAUUAGAGCAAUCCCAACUCUAAUAUGUAGAACACACACGUUCUCUCCCUGGCUAACAGCAACAAGGAACACAAUUGUUGGAAACAAGAUGACUCAGUUUCAACACCAAGAGGAAGGGGGGGGGGGUGAAUUGGUGAGGUUUAAAAAUCAAUUUCUUUUCAAAAUCCUUUUCACAAAGUAUAAACCUUUACAAAGUUUCUUGAAUCGCAAGGAAUGAAAAUUUUAAGUGCAGCGGAAAUGUAAAGUUGACUACAUAAACAGUUAAGUCGACUUAAUGUAAAAGUGUAAGGAUAAAGAAAUCAAACGCAGAUUUUUAUACUGGUUCAGCCUCAAUGCUUACAUCCAGUGUCCUUCCACAACCAGGAAGCAAAUGCACUAUAAUGGUCAAGGCUUUUACAACAAGGCUUUUAUAGAGACUUCUACGUUAAAAAUAUAAAACAUCUCUCUAACUCUCUAACCAAAAUAUAGGCAGCAACACAAAGAUCUACAGCAAGAUAUCCUCCUCUUCUGCAAUCUUCAACCCAUUUUGAACAAUCCUCAAAGUGUACAGAACUCCACGAGUUUACCCCUGC